rnacentral:rRNA from 1 species
CCUUUGACGUUAGCGGCGGACGGGUGAGUAACACGUGGGUAACCUACCUAUAAGACUGGGAUAACUUCGGGAAACCGGAGCUAAUACCGGAUAAUAUUUCGAACCGCAUGGUUCGAUAGUGAAAGGUGGUUUUGCUAUCACUUAUAGAUGGACCUGCGCCGUAUUAGCUAGUUGGUAAGGUAACGGCUUACCAAGGCGACGAUACGUAGCCGACCUGAGAGGGUGAUCGGCCACACUGGAACUGAGACACGGUCCAGACUCCUACGGGAGGCAGCAGUA